UACGGGGGGGGUAAGCGUUGUUCGGAAUUACUGGGCGUAAAGCGUGCGCAGGCGGUUUUGUAAGUCUGUCGUGAAAUCCCCGGGCUUAACCUGGGAAUUGCGAUGGAGACUGCAAGGCUAGAAUCUGGCAGAGGGGGGUAGAAUUCCACGUGUAGCAGUGAAAUGCGUAGAGAUGUGGAGGAACACCGAUGGCGAAGGCAGCCCCCUGGGUCAAGAUUGACGCUCAUGCACGAAAGCGUGGGGAGCAAACAGG
rnacentral:rRNA from 1 species